AACGAACGCUGGCGGCAGGCCUAACACAUGCAAGUCGAGCGCGCCUUCGGGUGAGCGGCGGACGGGUGAGUAACACGUGGGAAUAUGCCUUUCGGUGCGGAAUAGUCUUGGGAAACUGAGGGUAAUACCGCAUACGCCCCUUGGGGGAAAGAUUUAUCGCCGAAAGAUUAGCCCGCGUUGGAUUAGGUAGUUGGUGGGGUAAUGGCCUACCAAGCCGACGAUCCAUAGCUGGUUUGAGAGGAUGAUCAGCCACACUGGGACUGAGACACGGCCCAGACUCCUACGGGAGGCAGCAGUGGGGAAUCUUAGACAAUGGGGGCAACCCUGAUCUAGCCAUGCCGCGUGAGUGAUGAAGGCCUUAGGGUUGUAAAGCUCUUUCAGCUGGGAAGAUAAUGACGUACCAGCAG
rnacentral:rRNA from 1 species